AUACUGUUGAGUUCAAACGCAUUGCUAACUUUUCUCCAGUUAAAACAGAUGAUUAGCAAUCCUUUUGGAAAGUGCUGCAGUUGAUUUAGGCUGUAUGACUUUAACACUACUAGGAAUCAAACAGCUAAAACCCCAGAACAACUAAUGACGGACAACAGGCCACAAUUACUACAGCAGAAUUUAAGUAAUUCCAAAUGAAAUAUUAUUUGGAUCAUACUACUAGCACCCCACAUUACCAGCAAGCAAAUGGAGAGGCUGACACUCAGCCAAGAAAAUCCUACAGCAGGAAGAUCCAUUCUUUGCUCUUCUGAGUUACAGAUCAACACAGUUGCAGCUACUGGAUAGAGUCCAGCACAACUCCUGAUGGGAAGACAAUUCAGAACCACUGAUCCAACUUCAGAAAAGAAUCUAUCUCCAAAGUGGUCAGAUAUGUAAAGAGUAAUCAAAGUGGAUAAAAAGGCUAAACAAGCUUAUGAACACUUUUAUAACAGACGUCACUCAGAUAACUGCCAGGUCUGUCAAACUGGAUGAACAACUGCAGCUGUCAAAAAAAAAAAAAAAAAAAAAGAACGUAGUGUCCAGACCAUAUAUGAUU